rnacentral:rRNA from 1 species
UACGUAGGGGGCAAGCGUUGUCCGGAUUUAUUGGGCGUAAAGAGCGUGUAGGCGGCCGUACAGGUCAGCUGUGAAAACUCGAGGCUCAACCUCGAGACGUCGGUUGAAACCGUACGGCUAGAGUCCGGAAGAGGAGAGUGGAAUUCCCGGUGUAGCGGUGAAAUGCGCAGAUAUCGGGAAGAACACCCGUGGCGAAGGCGGCUCUCUGGGUCCCUACCGACGCUGGGGUGCGAAAGCAUGGGGAGCGAACAGGG